rnacentral:rRNA from 1 species
UACGUAGGAUGCUAGCGUUGUCCGGAUUUACUGGGCGUAAAGCGCGCGCAGGCGGCACUGUAAGUAAGGUGUGAAAUAUCCCUGCUCAACGGGGAGGGUGCACUUUAGACUGCAGAGCUAGAGGACGGUAGAGGGGGGUGGAAUUGCUGGUGUAGCGGUGAAAUGCGUAGAGAUCAGCAGGAACACCCGUGGCUAAGGCGGCUCUCUAGUACGGUACUGACGCUGAGACGCGAAAGCGUGGGGAGCGAACAGG